AAUAGAUACCCAGGUAGUCCACGCCGUAAACGAUGAGUGCUAAGUGUUAGAGGGUUUCCGCCCUUUAGUGCUGCAGCUAACGCAUUAAGCACUCCGCCUGGGGAGUACGGUCGCAAGACUGAAACUCAAAGGAAUUGACGGGGGCCCGCACAAGCGGUGGAGCAUGUGGUUUAAUUCGAAGCAACGCGAAGAACCUUACCAGGUCUUGACAUCCCACUGACCGGUAUAGAGAUAUACCUUUCCCUUCGGGGACAGUGGUGACAGGUGGUGCAUGGUUGUCGUCAGCUCGUGUCGUGAGAUGUUGGGUUAAGUCCCGCAACGAGCGCAACCCUUGAUCUUAGUUGCCAGCAUUUAGUUGGGCACUCUAAGGUGACUGCCGGUGACAAACCGGAGGAAGGUGGGGAUGACGUCAAAUCAUCAUGCCCCUUAUGACCUGGGCUACACACGUGCUACAAUGGAUGGUACAAAGGGCUGCAAGACUGCGAAGUCAAGCCAAUCCCAAUAAAACCAUUCUCAGUUCGGAUUGC
rnacentral:rRNA from 1 species